AUUGAACGCUGGCGGCAGGCCUAACACAUGCAAGUCGAGCGGCAGCGACUUAACUGAAUUUCGGGGAACGUUAAGGGCGGCGAGCGGCGGACGGGUGAGUAAUGCCUGGGGAUAUGCCCUGAUGUGGGGGAUAACUAUUGGAAACGAUAGCUAAUACCGCAUAAUCUCUUCGGAGCAAAGAGGGGGACCUUCGGGCCUCUCGCGUCAGGAUUAGCCCAGGUGGGAUUAGCUUGUUGGUGAGGUAAUGGCUCACCAAGGCUACGAUCCCUAGCUGGUCUGAGAGGAUGAUCAGCCACACUGGAACUGAGACACGGUCCAGACUCCUACGGGAGGCAGCAGUGGGGAAUAUUGCACAAUGGGGGAAACCCUGAUGCAGCCAUGCCGCGUGUGUGAAGAAGGCCUUCGGGUUGUAAAGCACUUUCAGUAGGGAGGAAGGUAGUGUAGUUAACACCUGCAUUAUUUGACGUUACCUACAGAAGAAGCACCGGCUAACUCCGUGCCAGCAGCCGCGGUAAUACGGAGGGUGCGAGCGUUAAUCGGAAUUACUGGGCGUAAAGCGCAUGCAGGCGGCCUGUUAAGUCAGAUGUGAAAGCCCGGGGCUUAACCUCGGAAUUGCAUUUGAAACUGGCAGGCUAGAGUCUUGUAGAGGGGGGUAGAAUUUCAGGUGUAGCGGUGAAAUGCGUAGAGAUCUGAAGGAAUACCAGUGGCGAAGGCGGCCCCCUGGACAAAAACUGACGCUCAGAUGCGAAAGCGUGGGGAGCAAACAGG
rnacentral:rRNA from 1 species